UUAUUUUAUUCCUCUUCGAAAACAACAACCCCGACAUUUGCCCAUCACUAGCUACAUCCUUGCAGUCCGUAACUCAACAGUCAGGUGAGUUGAGGGCGAGUUUUGAUUGGAACACAAAUGCCCCGGAUCCAUUUUUUGCCAACCAAUUACCAUCGACUAAUUUUGUUUCAAUGAAUUGAUUGGACAAGUGCGUGUCCUCGCGUCAUAAAAUUGAUAAUGUCCGAAAAUGGCGACCCUGGCUCUGCUACUGUGAAUCCACGGUAUAUUCACCUGUUUGUUUACAUGAAAACCCAUUAUAAGAUGGUCGACGAUAAAAGAGGGGGGGAAAAAGACAUGCAGCAAGCAUGCAGAAGUAAAGUUAGCGUCCUGAGCUUCACUGCAGUCACCAUGAAUGGAGCCCUUUGCUCAAUAGCUAAGGACAGAGAACUAUCAAAGAUUCGACACAGAUCACUUUAUCAUUUCUACCUUGGUGCAAAUAGAUUAAUUUACAAAUUGCUGCUUUGCUAUCAUGAAGUUACACGCAGUGAGUCCUUUAUGGAGGCAAGCUGAGGAUGCAUAGCUUCAUGUACAGUCAUACAUCGGAGCACUCAUCCAUCAACUGCAUGGAUUUCCUGUCAAAGUCCACUACCACGAGCAUCGUUGCCCAGGCGACACCAAGACAUGUGAGCGAGUGUACAGCCCAGAAGGGGCGAGAGAUCGAG